GGUUGGUUAGUCUAGUUUGGUAAGGCGGGUGUCUUGUAAGCAUCAGAACAUGGGUUCAAAUCCCAUACCAACCU
rnacentral:tRNA from 1 species